CAGUCGCCGCGGUAACGCGAAGGGGGCUAGCGUUGUUCGGAUUUACUGGGCGUAAAGGGUGCGUAGGCGGAUUGUUAAGUCAGGGGUGAAAUGCCGGGGCUCAACCUCGGAACUGCCUUUGAUACUGGCGAUCUUGAGUCCGGGAGAGGUGAGUGGAACUGCGAGUGUAGAGGUGAAAUUCGUAGAUAUUCGCAAGAACAUCAGUGGCGAAGGCGGCUCACUGGCCCGGAACUGACGCUGAGGCACGACAGCGUGGGGAGCAAACAGGAUUAGAUACCCCUGUAGUCCCUGUCUCUUAUAC
rnacentral:rRNA from 1 species